rnacentral:tRNA from 5 species
GGGCCUAUAGCUCAGCGGUAGAGCCACCGGCUCAUAACCGGUUGGUCCUUGGUUCGAUCCCAAGUGGGCCCACCA